GGGGUUGUAGUUCGGUGGUAGAACACCUGCUUGGCAUGAAGAAGGGCACGGGUUCAAUCCUUGGUAUCUUCA
rnacentral:tRNA from 1 species